rnacentral:rRNA from 1 species
AAUUUUAUGCAAUGGGCGCAAGCCUGACAGAGCAAUACCGCGUGGGGGAAGAAAGCCCCCAGGGAUGUAAACCUCUUUUAUCAAGGAGGAAGUUAUGACGUUACUUGAUGAAUAAACAUCGGAUAUUCUGUGCCAGCCCCCGCGGUAAGACGGGGGAUGCAAGUGUUAUCCGGAAUCAUUGGGCGUAAAGCGGUUGUGGGUGGUUUAGUAAGUUUAUUGAUAAAGCUCGAAGCUUAACUUCAAAAAUUGAUAGAAACUACUAGACUUGAGGAUAGUAGGGGUGAAGGGAAUUUUCACUGGAGCGGUGAAAUGCUAGAGAUAUAAGGACCACGGAUGGGGAAGGCACUCACUGGGCUAAUUGUGCACUAAGAGACAAAGAUAGGGUGGCGACCAGAGUAGAACCCCAGUGUCCUAGCCGCA